rnacentral:lncRNA from 1 species
GUUUUGUAUCCAGUUGAUGAUGUAAUAUUCGAUCGUACUCGCAUAGUAGACGACCAAUAGAAAACUAACAUGUAAUCACAUGAUUUGGACAAUGGUUGUGUUGUAGGAAGAUGUCGUCGGUGUUUAUGGAGCGCUAUUUAGGGACAGUCAUCGUCGCUAGACAUAACCCAAUGAGUUUCUCAAAUUCGGCAGAUUAGCUUAUUAAUGCUGUCAGAGAAAGGACAAAAGUGUAGGUGUAAAAUAGCAAAAAAAUGCUUGUGCUAUUUCAGUCACGUGGAGUGGCGCCAGAAGGAGUGUAAUGCAUUAUGUUACUUAGAUUCGUCGAUGUUAAGUCUUUGCACGUUUGGAGGUCCAAAAGGAGUAAACUAUUCGUUACUUUUUCGUUAUUUUUAUUCCUUUUUAUAUACGAUCCGAGGAAUUUAAUAUAUGGUUCUCUAUGGCGUCAAACGAAAGGUAAGUUAAUUCGAUUCAAUCAAUAAUUAUUUACAUUUAUUAGAAAGUAUAAGAGCAGUUUUUGUUGUUGUGUACUAUAUUUAAAAUUAUGACAUAGAAAAUAGCCGAUUUGCUCUAGUGCUUCUGGUUUAGUACGAUGUAGGUUAAUGUGUAGCGUAGAGGUAGAAGUUCGUGUAUGUGAAAGAUUUAACAAGACUGGAUAAGACUGAUAAGAUUCGUAACAUAUAACAAAUUAAUUAAAAUAUAUUUUAAAAUUUAAACUAUUACUCUUGUUAAGUAAUAAAAUUUCUUGACGAUAAAAAACAGAUCAAUCAAUGUAAAUGUACAUUUUAAAUCGCCAUCAAUUUUUAAAAAAUACUCUAUUGUAUUGUUA